CACUUUGCUCCUGUCGACAGCCCCGUGUCUAUGGGAGGGGCAGGUAUUUUUUGAAGAGAGAACUGAAACUCAAAGCAUCUUACUGCAGGAGCUCAUCUUCAAUGGUGGAAGGUGUAUUCACAGUAUCCUGCUACAGCUCUUGCCCUCUGGCUAAGAUUCCCCCUGGACUCUGUUCUCUUCAACAGUGCUGAGGCACCCUCUGAAGGUCUAAAAUGAGCCCCGGAAUAUCUCUCUAAGCAAGUCCCACUCUGCAACGUUUUCAUGGAGCAGAAAUGAGCUGGGGGAGCUGAAUGAACGAGCAGAAAUGAAUGCAUUGCUUCUUAUUAAAGAACCUGAU